rnacentral:rRNA from 1 species
GAUGAACGCUGGCGGCGUGCCUAAUACAUGCAAGUCGAGCGAACGGACGAGAAGCUUGCUUCUCUGAUGUUAGCGGCGGACGGGUGAGUAACACGUGGAUAACCUACCUAUAAGACUGGGAUAACUUCGGGAAACCGGAGCUAAUACCGGAUAAUAUUUUGAACCGCAUGGUUCAAAAGUGAAAGACGGUCUUGCUGUCACUUAUAGAUGGGUCCGCGCUGCAUUGGCUAGUUGGUAAGGUAACGGCUUACCAAGGCAACGAUGCAUAGCCGACCUGAGAGGGUGAUCGGCCACACUGGAACUGAGACACGGUCCAGACUCCUACGGGAGGCAGCAGUAGGGAAUCUUCCGCAAUGGGCGAAAGCCUGACGGAGCAACGCCGCGUGAGUGAUGAAGGUCUUCGGAUCGUAAAACUCUGUUAUUAGGGAAGAACAUAUGUGUAAGUAACUGUGCACAUCUUGACGGUACCUAAUCAGAAAGCCACGGCUAACUACGUG